GCUGGCGGCGUGCCUAACACAUGCAAGUCGUGCGAGAAAACCCCUUCGGGGGCGAGUACAGCGGCGGACGGGUGAGUAACACGUGAGCGAUCUACCCGACAGUGGGGGAUAACCCAGGGAAACCUGAGCUAAUACCGCAUGUUGCGCCGGCUUGGAAGCCGAGCGUUAAAGCGGGCCUCUCUUUGAAGCUCGUGCUGUCGGAUGGGCUCGCGGCCUAUCAGCUUGUUGGUGGGGUAACGGCCUACCAAGGCGAUGACGGGUAGCUGGCGUGAGAGCGCGACCAGUCACACUGGGACUGAGACACGGCCCAGACUCCUACGGGAGGCAGCAGUGGGGAAUAUUGCGCAAUGGGCGAAAGCCUGACGCAGCGACGCCGCGUGGGGGAGGAAGGCCUCAGGGUUGUAAACCCCUGUCAGGUGGGACGAACCCCGGAUCGAGUAAUACACGGUCCGACUGACGGUACCACCAGAGGAAGCUCCGGCUAACUCCGUGCCAGCAGCCGCGGUAAUACGGAGGGAGCUAGCGUUGUUCGGAAUUACUGGGCGU
rnacentral:rRNA from 1 species